rnacentral:tRNA from 1 species
GCCAGGGUGGCAUAGUGGUUUGAGUAUUGGCCUACAACUCUGGAGACAAGGGUUCAAUUCCCCGCUUGGCCA